rnacentral:rRNA from 1 species
GUUGUCCGGGAUUAUUGGGCGUAAAGAGCGUGUAGGCGGUCCGGUAAGUCAGAUGUGAAAGUCAAGGGCUCAACCCUUGAAUGCCGGUUGAUACUGUCGGGCUAGAGUCCGGAAGAGGCGAGUGGAAUUCCCGGUGUAGCGGUGAAAUGCGCAGAUAUCGGGAGGAACACCAAUGGCGAAGGCAGCUCGCUGGGACGGUACUGACGCUGAGACGCGAAAGCGUGGGGAGCAAACAGG